UACGAGGGGGGCGAGCGUUGUUCGGAAUUAUUGGGCGUAAAGGGUGCGUAGGCGGUUUGGUAAGUCUUGUGUGAAAUCUCCAGGCUCAACUUGGAGUCUGCACGAGAAACUGCCGGGCUUGAGUGUGGGAGAGGUGAGUGGAAUUCCUGGUGUAGCGGUGAAAUGCGUAGAUAUCAGGAAGAACACCGGUGGCGAAGGCGGCCCACUGGAUCGGCACUGACGCUGAGGUGCGAAAGCGUGGGGAGCAAACAGG
rnacentral:rRNA from 1 species